rnacentral:snoRNA from 1 species
AACCCAUGGUGAGGGCACCUUCGUAAUAAGUCCUUGUACCUCUCCCAUGCAUCAUAAAGAGUUUCUAGAUCCAUCUGCACAAAAAAAAAUAUCAUUCCUUAAUUU